rnacentral:rRNA from 1 species
GACAGAGGGUGCAAACGUUGUUCGGAUUUACUGGGCGUAAAGCGCGUGUAGGCGGCUUUGCAAGUCGGAUGUGAAAGCCCACGGCUCAACCGUGGAAGUGCAUCCGAAACUGCAUGGCUUGAGUCUCGGAGAGGAAGGUGGAAUGCUUGGUGUAGAGGUGAAAUUCGUAGAUAUCAAGCAGAACACCUGCGGCGAAGGCGGCCUUCUGGACGGUACUGACGCUGAGACGCGAAAGCGUGGGGAGCGAACAGG